rnacentral:tRNA from 1 species
AGAUAAUGAACUUGUAAAAGUAUAUAUUUUGAAAAUAUAAUAUAGAAAUAAAAUUUUCUAUUAUCUU